AGUGAACGCUGGCGGUAGGCCUAACACAUGCAAGUCGAACGGCAGCACAGUAAGAGCUUGCUCUUACGGGUGGCGAGUGGCGGAUGGGUGAGGAAUACAUCGCAAUCUACUUUUUCGUGGGGGAUAACGUAGGGAAACUUACGCUAAUACCGCAUACGACCUACGGGUGAAAGCAGCGGAUCUUCGGACCUUGCGCGAUUGAAUGAGCCGAUGUCGGAUUAGCUAGUUGGCGGGGUACAGGCCCACCAAGGCGACGAUCCGUAGCUGGUCUGAGAGGAUGAUCAGCCACACUGGAACUGAGACACGGUCCAGACUCCUACGGGAGGCAGCAGUGGGGAAUAUUGGACAAUGGGCGCAAGCCUGAUCCAGCCAUACCGCGUGGGUGAAGAAGGCCUUCGGGUUGUAAAGCCCUUUUGUUGGGAAAGAAAAGCAGCAGGUUAAUACCCCGCUGUUCUGACGGUACCCAAAGAAUAAGCACCGGCUAACUUCGUG
rnacentral:rRNA from 1 species